UCCUACGGGAGGCAGCAGUGGGGAAUAUUGCACAAUGGGCGCAAGCCUGAUGCAGCGACGCCGCGUGAGGGAUGACGGCCUUCGGGUUGUAAACCUCUUUCACCAGGGACGAAGCGUGAGUGACGGUACCUGGAGAAGAAGCACCGGCCAACUACGUGCCAGCAGCCGCGGUAAUACGUAGGGUGCGAGCGUUGUCCGGAAUUACUGGGCGUAAAGAGCUCGUAGGCGGUUUGUCGCGUCGUCUGUGAAAUUCUGCAACUCAAUUGCAGGCGUGCAGGCGAUACGGGCAGACUUGAGUACUACAGGGGAGACUGGAAUUCCUGGUGUAGCGGUGAAAUGCGCAGAUAUCAGGAGGAACACCGGUGGCGAAGGCGGGUCUCUGGGUAGUAACUGACGCUGAGGAGCGAAAGCGUGGGUAGCGAACAGGAUUAGAUACCCUGGUAGUCCACGCCGUAAACGGUGGGUACUAGGUGUGGGUUCCUUUUCACGGGAUCCGUGCCGUAGCUAACGCAUUAAGUACCCCGCCUG
rnacentral:rRNA from 1 species